AGAGUUUGAUCCUGGCUCAGGACGAACGCUGGCGGUGCGCCUAAUGCAUGCAAGUCGAACGGGCGAAGGGGCUUCGGCCCCCUAGCUAGUGGCAGACGGCUGAGUAACACGUAAGUGAUAUGCCCCGGAGAGGGGGAUAAGCCGGAGAAAUCCGGUCUAAUACCCCGUACGCUCCCUUUACUACGGUAUAGGGAGGAAAGGUUCCGGCGCUCUGGGAGUAGCUUGCGGCCUAUCAGGUAGUUGGUGGGGUAACAGCCUACCAAGCCGAAGACGGGUAACCGGUGUGAGAGCACGAUCGGUCAGAGGGGGACUGAGACACGGCCCCCACUCCUACGGGAGGCAGCAGCAGGGAAUCUUGCGCAAUGGGCGAAAGCCUGACGCAGCGACACCGCGUGGGGGAUGAAGGCUUUCGAGUUGUAAACCCCUUUUCCCGGGGAUGAGAAAGGACAGUACCCGGGGAAUAAGGUUCGGCUAACUACGUGCCAGCAGCCGCGGUAAUACGUAGGAACCGAGCGUUGUCCGGAUUUACUGGGCGUAAAGUGCGCGUAGGCGGUCCGUUAAGUCUCAUGUGAAAUCUCCCGGCUCAACUGGGAGGGGUCAUGGGAUACUGGCAGACUGGAGUGCAGUAGAGGAAAGCAGAAUUCCCGGAGUAGUGGUGGAAUGCGUAGAUACCGGGAGGAACACCAGAGGCGAAGGCGGCUUUCUGGGCUGUAACUGACGCUGAGGCGCGAAAGCGUGGGUAGCAAACCGGAUUAGAUACCCGGGUAGUCCACGCCCUAAACGAUGGAUACUAGGCAUGGGAGGUAUCGACCCCCUCCGUGCCGUAGCUAACGCAAUAAGUAUCCCGCCUGAGGAGUACGGCCGCAAGGCUAAAACUCAAAGGAAUUGACGGGGACCCGCACAAGCAGCGGAUCGUGUGGUUUAAUUCGAUGAUAAGCGAAGAACCUUACCAGGGCUUGAAAUGCUUCUGACCGGCUGUGAAAGCAGCCUUUCCUUCGGGACAGUUGCACAGAUGUUGCAUGGCUGUCGUCAGCUCGUG
rnacentral:rRNA from 1 species